rnacentral:rRNA from 1 species
UGGGGAAUUUUGGACAAUGGGCGAAAGCCUGAUCCAGCAAUGCCGCGUGUGUGAAGAAGGCCUUCGGGUUGUAAAGCACUUUUGUCCGGAAAGAAAUCCUUGGCUCUAAUACAGUCGGGGGAUGACGGUACCGGAAGAAUAAGCACCGGCUAACUACGUGCCAGCAGCCGCGGUAAUACGUAGGGUGCAAGCGUUAAUCGGAAUUACUGGGCGUAAAGCGUGCGCAGGCGGUUUGCUAAGACCGAUGUGAAAUCCCCGGGCUCAACCUGGGAACUGCAUUGGUGACUGGCAGGCUAGAGUAUGGCAGAGGGGGGUAGAAUUCCACGUGUAGCAGUGAAAUGCGUAGAGAUGUGGAGGAAUACCGAUGGCGAAGGCAGCCCCCUGGGCCAAAUACUGACGCUCAUGCACGAAAGCGUGGGGAGCAAAACAGGAUUAGAUACCCUGGUAGUCCACGCCCUAAAACGAUGUCAACUAGUUGUUGGGGAUUCAUUUCCUUAGUAACGUAGCUAACGCGUGAAGUUGACCGCCU